GCACCAGCGCCCCCUCGUGUCUUUGAGCUGCCCGGUGCAGAGACCGUUGUAGCUGCAGUUUACUCAAGUCCUAUCCUCCCUGGAACGCUAGAUUCCAUCGCCAAGACCUCUUGAAUGUCUUCAGGGACUGACGGUAAAUUCCCCUCCCCGCGCCCCAGUUUGAUCAUGUUCUUUCUCUUCUUUAGUGGUCACUGGGUUGGACUGCUGUCGGCCGAUAGGGCCUUCCCUCUGUCCAGCUGGCCGCACAGGACAGGACAUGGGAGCUCUGGACAGCUUCAAGGCUGGACGCCGGAGGCCUGGGGUUUUGAUUUGGAAAAACAUCUGAAAGAACUGGUCAUUUAAAUAUCAGUUAAAGACUUUUAAAGAAGAUACCGUGCUUCGGGUGGAAAAAGACUCCCAGGAGCCAUAGAUUACUGAGGAGAAUCCAAAAAGGAAGAACUCCCUGUGAGCUGUUCGUCGACGAAUCUUCAGGUGCCCAAAACAAUAUACUCUUUUGCCACUGCUGUUGGAUGUUGGAUAAUAGACCUGGAAUGUUAGACUCAAUUUGUUUAUCGGAAACCAAGAAGAGAAACUGGGACUGAGCUGGACACUCUCUCCCAUGUUGGCUGCCUUUUGUGGGCUGGAAGGUGCUCUGCAACUUGCUGGGGAAUAACUGUCCACAGACCUCCUCAGUGACACAACUACUCUGGGUGUGACCAUCUAGUUUUCUGAUUGGAGCUAAGGUUCAUUCAUGCCACAGAAGGAAAAUUCUAUUUGGUACUGUCUUAGACAGGUUUUCUAUCGCUGUGAUAAAACACCAUGACCAAAAGCAACGAGUAGGAAAGGGUUUACUUCAACCUCUAAGUCUGAAACACAGUACAUCAUGAAGGGAAGUCAGGGACAGAACUCAAGGCAGGAACCUGGAGGCAGGAGCUGAUGCAGAGGCCACGGAGGGGAGCUGCUUCCUGGCUUGCUCUCCAUGCUUUCUUAUAGCUCCCAGGACCACCAGACCUGGGGUUGUGGGCCCUACCUCAUCAAUCAUCAGUCAAGAAAAAGCACUACCGGCUGGCCCACAGGCCAAUUUGGUGGAUGUAAUUUUCUCAAUUGAAGUUCCCUCUUCUUUAAUGACUCUGGCUUGUGUCAAGUUGACAUUAAACUAGCCAGGUACUGUGUAAGCCAGGACAAAAAACUUGUAACUGGGAAGGUCAUAGGUUCUGGUAGGGAAAUUACUAUUGUUUUGCUUAACAGAUAUAGUAUGCCUGUCAAAUUAUCUUCUAAAUAUGUAUGUUUAUGCACAUAGAUUACUGCUGCCAUCAGGUUUGUUCGUAGAGGGAAACAUUUCCCAGUAGUUGAUGGUUGCUACAGAGACUUUAUAAGCGGGCAAGCUAUUGUGAACAAUUGACUGUUGUUAUGACCUAGGGGCUCCAUGCAAGAGCAUAAAUGAAGGAAAAUACUCAGACAUCUAUAUCACCCCCUCCAGGCACAGAGAGCAUAGUAGAAGAGGUGGUAAAAAGAAUGAAAGAUCUGGUAGAAAAGGUAGACUGUUGUAUAGCCAUUUCCUGCAAGGUGAAACAUUCCCUUCUGAACCAGGUGUGGGGCACAGUACUACAACCCUGGCACCUGAAAGGAAGAAGCAGAAGGUCAGGAAUUCAAGGUCAUCGCCAACUACAUAGUGAGCUUGAGACCAGUCUGUGUUCUAUGAGAUCUUGUCUCAGGGGUGGAUAUAUGAAAGGGAAGAGAAGUGAAAGAUAAGGGAAGAAAAAGAAAGAAAGAAAGAAAGAAAGAAAGAAAGAAAGAAAGAAAGAAAGAAAGAAAGAAAGAAAAAGAAGAAAGAAAGAAAAAGAAAGAAAGA